rnacentral:rRNA from 1 species
UACGUAGGGUGCAAGCGUUAAUCGGAAUUACUGGGCGUAAAGCGUGCGCAGACGGUUGUGUAAGACAGAUGUGAAAUCCCCGGGCUCAACCUGGGAACUGCAUUUGUGACUGCACAGCUGGAGUGCGGCAGAGGGGGAUGGAAUUCCGCGUGUAGCAGUGAAAUGCGUAGAUAUGCGGAGGAACACCGAUGGCGAAGGCAAUCCCCUGGGCCUGCACUGACGCUCAUGCACGAAAGCGUGGGAGCAAACAGGAU